rnacentral:rRNA from 1 species
UCGAGGAUCUUUCGCAAUGGGCGCAAGCCUGACGAAGCGACGCUGCGUGAGCGAUGAAGGCCUUCGGGUCGUAAAGCUCUUUCGCGCAAGAACAAGGAAGGGAUGUGAAUAACAUCCCGACUUGAGGGUACUGCGUAAAGAAGCGCCGGCUAACUCCGUGCCAGCAGCUGCGGUAAUACGGAGAGCGCAAGCAUUAAUCGGAAUUAUUGGGCGUAAAGGGCGCGUAGGCGGAAAGGCAAGUUAGAUGUGAAAUUCUGAAGCUCAACUUCAGAGCUGCAUUUAAAACUACCAUUCUAGAGGGUUGACGGAGAAAACGGAAUUCCGUGUGUAGCGGUGAAAUGCGUAGAUAUAUGGAAGAACACCGGUGGCGAAAGCGGUUUUCUAGUUAACACCUGACGCUGAGGUGCGAGAGCAAGGGGAGCAAACAGG